rnacentral:rRNA from 1 species
UAGAGUUUGAUCCUGGCUCAGAUUGAACGCUGGCGGCAGGCCUAACACAUGCAAGUCGAGCGGUAACAUUUCUAGCUUGCUAGAAGAUGACGAGCGGCGGACGGGUGAGUAAUGCUUGGGAACAUGCCUUGAGGUGGGGGACAACAGUUGGAAACGACUGCUAAUACCGCAUAAUGUCUACGGACCAAAGGGGGCUUCGGCUCUCGCCUUUAGAUUGGCCCAAGUGGGAUUAGCUAGUUGGUGAGGUAACGGCUCACCAAGGCGACGAUCCCUAGCUGGUUUGAGAGGAUGAUCAGCCACACUGGGACUGAGACACGGCCCAGACUCCUACGGGAGGCAGCAGUGGGGAAUAUUGCACAAUGGGCGCAAGCCUGAUGCAGCCAUGCCGCGUGUGUGAAGAAGGCCUUCGGGUUGUAAAGCACUUUCAGUCAGGAGGAAAGGUUAGUAGUUAAUACCUGCUAGCUGUGACGUUACUGACAGAAGAAGCACCGGCUAACUCCGUGCCAGCAGCCGCGGU